AUGAACGCUGGCGGCGUGCCUAAUACAUGCAAGUCGAGCGAACAGACGAGGAGCUUGCUCCUCUGACGUUAGCGGCGGACGGGUGAGUAACACGUGGAUAACCUACCUAUAAGACUGGGAUAACUUCGGGAAACCGGAGCUAAUACCGGAUAAUAUAUUGAACCGCAUGGUUCAAUAGUGAAAGACGGUUUUGCUGUCACUUAUAGAUGGAUCCGCGCCGCAUUAGCUAGUUGGUAAGGUAACGGCUUACCAAGGCAACGAUGCGUAGCCGACCUGAGAGGGUGAUAGGCCACACUGGAACUGAGACACGGUCCAGACUCUUACGGGAGGCAGCAGUAGGGAAUCUUCCGCAAUGGGCGAAAGCCUGACGGAGCAACGCCGCGUGAGUGAUGAAGGUCUUCGGAUCGUAAAACUCUGUUAUUAGGGAAGAACAAAUGUGUAAGUAACUAUGCACGUCUUGACGGUACCUAAUCAGAAAGCCACGGCUAACUACGUG
rnacentral:rRNA from 1 species